ensembl:lncRNA uncharacterized LOC114843542
CAGGAGAAGAAGAGGAAGUGAUUAUGAGGGGUGGAAUGAGUCACUGGUGGCUCUUCAGCUAAAAUCUAAACAGCAUGAAAUAAUGUUUGCACAUAAACUCUUGCAAAAGUUACGUUCAUAUGUUUUAGCUCCGUCUGAUUCUGAUCAGGACACGUUUAGUGACACACGUCAGCAGUUCACAGCAGUAGGUUAGAAAUGUUCUUCUGCUGCUGUGAACUGAAAGAAAAGUACAGAAAAAUGAAACUGCAAUAAAUCGCCCUCAACCUUCAAAACUUAAAUCAGUCACUUUUAUUGAAAAUCGACUUCCAAGCAACAAAAACGUCCAAGCGUCUUGGUAAAGUUUGGAAGAGAAAUCGUGAAUCAUUUUGCUCCAGCAGGUGGAGUCAAAGUCAUGUGAUUCAAUGUGCUCAGAGCUUAAUGAUGCUUCUCACUUCCUGGAUUAGCCAUUUGACGAGAGAGGACACACUCCGUCUCAUCUCUGCUCAUAUGUUCACACUUUCCACAACAAUGGAGGAUUGUUCACUUUCUCAGCCAGAAAGCGGCCGAGGCCUUUGCACACAGGAGAGUGGACAGGACGGCUUCUCCUCAGACAUGAGGCACAGGUUCAGUGAUAACUACACUGAAAGGCAGCCUUUUACCAUUAAGGGAAACACCGGGCCACACCCUGUUUCUGUUGCACACCUUCAUGUGUUGCCCAUGAUGCCAGAAGCACACUCUGCCAACAAGAAUCUAACAAACCUCAUGCGAUCCACCGCUCAAGAAAUAGAUUUAGCACAAGCUGAGGCGGCGGCCAUGCCAGGCGGCACGCCACCCAAAACCUCAGCCGUAGCAGCAAAGCAGCCAGAUGUGGAGAUGGAAGCUGGCUGCAUGAAGCGCCCUGAUAAGGAGCCGGACCGCCUGGCAGAGCCAAAAGGCCCAGUUCUGGUUGCAGGAAAGCGGAGAAGCAGAGGAACCAGAGGAACCAAAGGCCACCGCAAGAGGAAAUGGAAAGUGUGCCUGUUCAUUUUGAUGGCCGUUGUUCCUGUGGUCCAAAGCUGUGCUCGUGCUCCGGCUUUCGUCUGCCUGGAUCAGAAGAGAUGCACAAAUAUCAUCAGCAUAUUUGGCCUAAACAACACUAAUCUGUACCAAAGGGCUCCUGAAGGUCGUUUCCCUCCAUGCUCUGGAAGCACCGUGCCUCCUGACGGCGGCUGCGCCGUCUGCCUCAAUUCCAAUGUCACGAUCCUCUGCUCAGAGGCAGCUGGACAUUAUUUGGAGGUAGAAGCCAAUGGAGAAACGAUCGACAACGCCCUCAUCGCUCCAACAGAACCAGUGCAGCUCUGUGGCCGAGGACACACACUGGCUGCUGGUCUGGGACUCGUUCUGGUUCUGGCUGCGGUUCUGCUGAUCGCGUGUAAGUGAUUAAUUAUGACCUCAUGUUUCCAACAUUUGACCUGACAUGACUCAGUAAAUCCCCUUUUUUCCCACAGUCACAUUACAUCAUUCAGUUCUGCUGCCACAGAACCGUGACCUAAUUCAUGUUUUAAAAUGCCGUUCUGAAUCCUAACUUAUUUAUACACACUUAAACUCUUUUCAUGCACUUUUUUACCAGGACUCCUGCCUGGACAGACUGAAGACAGCAGAAACCAGCGUCUUGCUCUUAUAAAACAAUAAAGUUUCUGCUGCAAACA